rnacentral:lncRNA from 1 species
UGAGUGUGUGGAGGGUUCUGUCCUUGAGGAGCAUAGUCAAUCCUUGCCAUGGAGAUGCCGAGGGUGUUGAGACCUGGGAGCUUCAUCGCAUUGAUCAACGUGACGUUGGACUUGACCUUGCUCUUCGUCGUGUCCCCAGGCUUGUCAAGGUUGGCUGCUAGGAAGAAGUCAUCGACCUUAACAUCCUUCACAUCCUUGCAGGGUAACCCGUUGACACGUACUGCAUCAGCAUACAAGCAUGUGUUAGGAAGCUAUUCUCAGGUUUUGCUGUAAAACAUCAGAAUGUGAUCAUGUUUUCUUAGAUGAAGUACAUACCAGGCGAGUAUUUGUCUGCGACGCAGAAGUCCUGGAGAGGACCGGGAUCCGAAGCCAUGGCCCCAUAAGCGAUCAAGGCAAGAAGAACAAAGUGAAGAAGCAAGUUGGAGGAGGCCAUGUCUAGCAACCUCGGAGUUUGCUUUCUUCUUGCAAGCUAGGGAGCUCCUGGUUGUGUCUCGGAAUUUGUGUGUAUAGCAAUAGCUAGCUGAUGCUUUCUCCUUGGGGGUGGUUCAUCCUUAUAUAUAGCUGCUGAGAGUCUGAAGAGGUCAAUCAGCAGGGCCGGCGCACUAUAUUGAAAUGGUCGAUCAGGUGUAGUGCAACCCACGCAAGCAACUAUUUGAAUUUGUCAACACGGUCUUGUGUAGGUCAUCUACGCCCAGGACGCCUGAUGAAGUAACCUAGUAGUAAUAAACUGGAGAUCAUGUAGAUAUAAUGUGUUUCUAGCUAUCGUCAUGCAUGACAAUACAAAACGAUAGUGCUGAUUGGUUCUGUGAUCCAGGUAAAAAGAAACCUUGUUAAUUAUUAGGUUAAUUGUAAGACAUGGCCAUUUAAUUUGGAUAGGUUCAUGCAUGCGUUGACACUUUCAUAACAGAUAACCGUCUGCACGCAAAUUACUAAUAACUGAUCUGAUUAUUCUAAAUUAGCUCUUGUUUACUUCACCCCCAACUUCCAACUUUGGCACUAUGCAAAAAGAAGAUUCCCCAUCACAUCAAACUUGCGGUACAUGCAUGGAGUACUAAAUGUAGACGAAAUCAAAAACUAAUUGCACAGUUUUGUUGUGCUUUGCGAGACGAAUCUUUUGAGCCUAAUUAGUCAAUAUUUAGACAAUAAUUCACAAAUACAAACGAAACGCUACAGUGUCGCAUUUAUGACAAAAUGUCAAUUUUGGGGCUCCCAAGUUGGCAAGUAAACAAGGCGUUAUUAGUUCGUAACAAAUAUUUAUUGGUACCGUGGACACAGCAUUGCACAUGUAUGACUAAUUAGUUUGAUCAGUUAUACCUAGCACGUGAGAAUUUAUUUCUCCAUUAUAUUCAGUUAUCAAAAAUAAAUUUUAUAUGCACUAUAAAUUUAUAUACCAGUGAAGUAGAUAUUACACCUAUCGACUGCAAGGGGGCACCAAAAAAAAUUCACAGCCAUUGGUAAAAUAAAAUUUCUGCAAGGGAUAGUCUGCUGUCGCAUAAAAAAUAUUUUUUCUUUGGACCAGAUUGUCACUGAACGUCAGGAUGUGAUUAAAAAGAAUAAUUAAGCAAUGAUUUUCUCAUAAUUUUAGAAAUUUAUUAUAGGAAAACAAUUGGUCGUUUGUUUUAAAUUAAACAAGGUUGUUCUGUGUGUCUGUUGCAUUCAUGCCGAUGCAUCUUGGUGUUUCUUAAGUGCAAAAUAUUUUAAAAUGCUUUUAGAUGAUGACCAUGUUCUUCUGAGUAUUUCCCAACUUUUUCUAGAAUUUGCACUCAUUUUCCUAUAGCUAAAUCUAUUUAUUAGAAGGCUCUACAAUCUUUUUCAUGAGCUCCAAGUACUUUAUUUGGAUUCCUCAUGUCCCAGUCUAUCUAUGGGAUUUUUCCAAGAAUUUUUGAGAUUUUCAAAAGUAUUUUUCAUGGUUUAAUCGAAUUACCUAGAUUUUUUCUGGAUUUUUCUUUCACGAGAAAUUAUUUCUGAAAAAAAAGAAAAAUCUAAUCGAUUCGGUCAAGCCUUUGGGGCCUAACCCUCUCCAGUCAACCCGCACCGACCCGGCACAGUUAACGGCCUAGCCUGGCCCACUAGACCCACCGGCCACCGGCAGCUCAAGGCCGAGCGUAGCUGCUCCUAGGCACCACCGAACCUCGCCGUGCGCGCCAAGGCAGCCACGGACCCACACGCCUAUAAAAGGGCGAGCCCGUGCGCCUGCGACCCCCCCCCUGCUACAACCGCUUCCGCCUGCCGCUCACCCGGAUCUCCAUCGCCGCGCGUACCUGAGCCGCCCGCGAAGUAGAGUGCCCCCGGGCCCUCUAUGGCCAGUCACCUCAAUUAAUAGUUUGAUAAAUGCGACUCGACAAUUAAGUUUAUAUUAUAAAAUCACUUUUCAUGAUGAAUCUUCUAGUUUCAAAGUUACUUGCAUGUUUAACAAUAAAUAAUCAUUGCUAACUGCCCGGCCUGGCCCACUAGGCCCACCAACCACCGGCAUCUCGAGGCCGAGCGUAGCUGCGGCUAGGCGCCGCCGAACCUCGGCGUGCGCGCCAAGGUAGGCACGGGGCACGGACCUGCGCGCCUAUAAAAGGGCGAGCCCAUGCGCCUGCGACCCCCCCCCCCUGCUGCAACAGCUUCCGUCUGCCGCUUGCCUAGAGCUCCGUGGCCGUGUGUUGCGUCCCUGAGCUGCCCGCGAAGCAGAGCGCCCCCGGGCCCUCUAUGGCCAGUCACCACAAUUAAUAGUUUGAUAAAUGCGACUCGACAAUUAAGUUUAUAUCAUAAAAUCACUUUUCAUGAUGAAUCUUCUAGUUUCAAAGUUACUUGCAUGUUUAACAAUAAAUAAUCAUUGCUAAUUUAAAUAGUAUGACUUAGGAAAGGGUAGCCCCAUAUGUUCUAAAAUUUUUUUUUUGCGAAUGUUCUAAAUAAUUAAGCUGCACCAUAUAUGUUCAAAAAAACAGUUCUAGUGUGUUUUCGUUAUCAUAUUUUAUUUUUUUCAACGCAUUCAUACUAGCUUUUCAUGAAAGUGAUGUCAUGGCAAGAGAUGUUGCCCAUCAGGAAACAUCUAUCACAAAUAAUGAACUUGAUGGCAAAAUGAAAGAGAUACAUAGGGUUCCACUAAUUGAAGCUGGCAACAUAAAUCACCUGCAUAAAGCUUGUGACACAAGUCAGAGUGCAUAUAUCGUCAUGCAAACCAUCCAAUGUCGAACAUUUCUGGAUCAUGAUCCGAUUGUCUUUACGGAAUAUGUGUGUCACAGGAGUUUUGAAAUUCUUUGAUCCAAGAGAAGACCGGCAUGGGUCCCAUGCUUUUGCACAAACUUACUCAACGUUUCUGCAUCAUGAUGUGAUUGUCUUUUUGGAAUAUGAGAGCUGAAAACCAUAUAUUGCAUCUCAAUUAACUAACAACUGCAUUUCAUAUAUGAUUUGCAGUUUACAAAUGAUGUCAUACAAUGUUUUACACAAUCUAUAAGGGAGUAAUUUGCAACAUCAUAUAGAGAAAUAAAAUUAAUCAAUGUUGUUUCUUAUUACACAGCUAAGCAACCAUGAUGAAAGCAUUCUUGACUUAGUUGUGGUUGUCCUCCCAAAACUGAGCUUGGAGCCAAUCCACAACCUUCUUGUCCACCUGAAACGCCUUGGCAAGAACAUCAUCCGCAAUCGGUGGUUUCGACCCAAACACUGCAUUAGAAAUGGUAAUAGCCCCAGGGUUCUGGCUGCUUAGUGCCGCGAUGGCAACCGCUGGCUUGUCAUAACUUGGAUUGAACUGAAAGUGGAUCAGGCCUUGCGGGAACACAAAAACGUCUCCCUUGUUGAGCAUCUUACUGAAAAACUUGUUGUCCGGGUUAGACGUGACAAAACCAACGUAGAGUGAACCUUCAAGAACUGUUAGGAUCUCCGUGGCACGGGGGUGAGUGUGUGGAGGGUUCUGUCCUUGAGGAGCAUAGUCAAUCCUCGCCAUGGAGAUGCCGAGGGUGUUGAGACCUGGGAGCUUCAUCGCAUUGAUCAACGUGACGUUGGACUUGACCUUGCUCUUCGUCGUGUCCCCAGGCUUGUCAAGGUUGGCUGCUAGGAAGAAGUCAUCGACCUUAACAUCCUUCACAUCCUUGCAGGGCAACCCGUUGACACGUACUGCAUCAAUGAAGCAACAUACAUGUGUUAUGGGAGGCUCAUCAUCAAACGUGUACUACGCCAUGUGAUUUUCAUUACAAGGCGGUAUAAACUUUCUCAAUUUUCAUUUCAGCUUCGUUAUGAACCACGCAAUCAUGAUGUGAUACAGACGUGUUAUGAUUAAGAUGAAGACUGA